rnacentral:rRNA from 1 species
CUUGACUGUAGCCUGGAAUUGGGUUCGGGCUUUUCUUGCGCAGACUAGGUGGGAGGCUAUGAAGAUUUCCUUCCGGGGAAGUUGGAGCCAACAGUGAGAGACCACUCUGGAGGAGCUAGAAUUCUAAUGGCGUUCCUUGAAGCAGGACGCUUGACAGUUUCAGGUGGGCAGUUUGACUGGGGCGGUCACCUCCUAAAAGGUAACGGAGGUGUGCAAAGGUUCCCUCAGGCUGGACGGAAAUCAGCCGUAGAGUGUAAAGGCAGAAGGGAGCUUGACUGCAAGACCUACAAGUCGAGCAGGGGCGAAAGCCGGCCUUAGUGAUCCGACGGUUCCAUGUGGAAGGGCCGUCGCUCAACGGAUAAAAGUUA